GAAUUGAAGAGUUUGAUCAUGGCUCAGAUUGAACGCUGGCGGCAGGCUUAACACAUGCAAGUCGAACGGUAGCAGGAAGAAAGCUUGCUUUCUUUGCUGACGAGUGGCGGACGGGUGAGUAAUGCUUGGGAAUCUGGCUUAUGGAGGGGGAUAACUGUGGGAAACUGCAGCUAAUACCGCGUAUUCUCUGAGGAGGAAAGGGUGGGACCUUAGGGCCACCUGCCAUAAGAUGAGCCCA
rnacentral:rRNA from 1 species